rnacentral:rRNA from 1 species
AGUAAAUAGAUACCCCGGUAGUCCUAGCCGUAAACGAUACUCGCUAGGUGUCGGCCACGGUGCGACCGUUGUCGGUGCCGUAGGGAAAGCCGUGAAGCGAGCCACCUGGGAAGUACGGCCGCAAGGCUGAAACUUAAAGGAAUUGGCGGGGGAGCACCACAACGGGUGGAGCUUGCGGUUUAAUUGGAUUCAACGCCGGAAAUCUUACCGGGACCGACAGCAAUAUGAAGGCCAGGCUGAAGACUUUGCCGGAUUAGCUGAGAGGUGGUGCAUGGCCGUCGUCAGUUCGUACUGUGAAAGCAUCCUGUUAAGUCAGGCAACGAGCGAGACCCACGCCCACAGUUGCCAGCGUACUCUCUGGAGCGACGGGUACACUGUGGGGACCGCCGCUGCUAAAGCGGAGGAAGGAAUGGGCAACGGUAGGUCAGUAUGCCCCGAAUACCCCGGGCUACACGCGAGCUACAAUGGUUGGUACAAUGGGUAUCUACCCCGAAAGGGGACGGGAAUCUCCUAAAACCAAUCUUAGUUCGGAUUGAGGGCUGCAACUCGCCCUCAUGAAG